rnacentral:rRNA from 1 species
GACGUAGGGCGCGAGCGUUGUCCGGAUUUAUUGGGCGUAAAGAGCUCGUAGGCGGCUUGUCGCGUCGACUGUGAAAAUCCCGCGGCUCAACUGCGGGUCUGCAGUCGAUACGGGCAGGCUAGAGUUCGGUAGGGGGAGACUGGAAUUCCUGGUGUAGCGGUGAAAUGCGCAGAUAUCAGGAGGAACACCGGUGGCGGAAGGCCGGGUCUCUGGGGCCGAAUACUGACGCUGGAGGGAGCGGAAAGCGUGGGGAGCGAAACAGG